rfam:Sphingobacterium nematocida strain DSM 24091 genome assembly, contig: LY61DRAFT_scaffold00016.16
UCAGGGGAUGCCGAAAACCUGCGAACCAUAGAGUAGGCA